rnacentral:rRNA from 1 species
CACGUAGGCGGAUCGUUAAGUCAGGGGUGAAAUCCCGGGGCUCAACCCCGGAACUGCCUUUGAUACUGGCGAUCUCGAGUUCGGGAGAGGUGAGUGGAAUUCCGAGUGUAGAGGUGAAAUUCGUAGAUAUUCGGAGGAACACCAGUGGCGAAGGCGGCUCACUGGCCCGAUACUGACGCUGAGGUGCGAAAGCGUGGGGAGCAAACA